GCUCAGUUAGUUAAGGUGUCUGACUUUUGGUUUCAGCUCAAGUCUUGAUCUCAGGGGUUGUGAGUUCAAGCCUCACAUUGGGCU
rnacentral:tRNA from 1 species